rnacentral:piRNA from 1 species
UGGGUACAGGUAUUGAAUGUAUGUCAGCCA